rnacentral:rRNA from 1 species
UACAGAGGUCUCAAGCGUUGUUCGGAUUCAUUGGGCGUAAAGAGUGCGUAGGUGGUGCCCUAAGUCUGUUGUGAAAUCUCCCGGCUUAACUGGGAGGGUGCGGUGGAAACUGGGGUGCUUGAGUGUGGGAGAGGUAAGCGGAAUUCCUGGUGUAGCGGUGAAAUGCGUAGAUAUCAGGAGGAACACCGGUGGUGUAGACGGCUUACUGGACCACGACUGACACUGAGGCACGAAAGCGUGGGUAGCAAACAGG